UACGUAGGGUGCGAGCGUUGUCCGGAAUUAUUGGGCGUAAAGAGCUCGUAGGUGGUUUGUCGCGUUGUCUGUGAAAUUCCCUGGCUUAACUGGGGGCGUGCGGGCGAUACGGGCAGACUGGAGUACUGCAGGGGAGACUGGAAUUCCUGGUGUAGCGGUGGAAUGCGCAGAUAUCAGGAGGAACACCGGUGGCGAAGGCGGGUCUCUGGGCAGUAACUGACGCUAAGGAGCGAAAGCGUGGGGAGCGAACAGG
rnacentral:rRNA from 1 species